AAAGUUAAAGUCGUAACAAGGUUUCCGUAGGUGAACCUGCGGAAGGAUCAUUACAGAAUGAAAAGUGCUUAACUGCAUUUUUUCUUACACAUGUGUUUUUCUUUUUUUGAAAACUUUGCUUUGGUAGGCCUUCUAUAUGGGGCCUGCCAGAGAUUAAACUCAACCAAAUUUUAUUUAAUGUCAACCGAUUAUUUAAUAGUCAAAACUUUCAACAACGGAUCUCUUGGUUCUCGCAUCGAUGAAGAACGCAGCGAAAUGCGAUAAGUAAUAUGAAUUGCAGAUAUUCGUGAAUCAUCGAAUCUUUGAACGCACAUUGCGCCCUUUGGUAUUCCAAAGGGCAUGCCUGUUUGAGCGUCAUUUCUCCCUCAAACCCUCGGGUUUGGUGUUGAGCGAUACGCUGGGUUUGCUUGAAAGAAAGGCGGAGUAUAAACUAAUGGAUAGGUUUUUUCCACUCAUUGGUACAAACUCCAAAACUUCUUCCAAAUUCGACCUCAAAUCAGGUAGGACUACCCGCUGAACUUAAGCAUAUCAAUAGCGGGGAGG
rnacentral:sRNA from 1 species